rnacentral:lncRNA from 1 species
AUAGAUCAAGUGUCGCAUAUGUUAAUAAAUCCUAAAUUGUGUGCCUAGAUGAUGCACGUAGCACGUAAUAAAUAUAAAGCCUAAGUCGUGCCUACCUAUACAAUUCAUAGAGCACGUAAUUCCUAACCCACGAAGCAGUCCCCCAAAUAUUAUUAUUACAAUAAUAGUAGUGUUUAUACAUUAUUACAAUCCAAAUAAUAAGCAACUAGAACUAAAUAAAAUUACUACAAUCUAAUGUAAACACCCGACAAUUCUUCGAAAUACCAUAAUUGUCUAUUUGAACCUGCAAGAUAAGAUGUAAUGGCAAAAAAACCGGACCAUACAAUAACAAAUAUCAAAGUGUUUCGAUAGGCAUGCUUUCUAAAGGCUUUCAUAAUAUAAUGCAGUCAGGACACACAGAUAAAUAAAAUAAUUACAUCCAUUCGAAGACAUUCCAGUAAGCAGUGAAUAACAAAUAAAUAAUAAGAAAGUUGUUGAAGUAAAAAAUUCCGACAGUGAGAUGAAAAAGAUGCCUCCUUAAAGAAGAAACGCCACACACAAUCUUUGAGAAAAUAUGAGUCUUUUGUUUGUAUGGAAAUAACUAGUAAAUCCCUUUUUUUUAUUUUUAGAGAGUAGUAAUUUAUGAUUGAAGAACUACUUGUUAAUGAAAAGGGAGGGGGUUUAUAUAGUAAGAGGGUUGUGAGUUAAGGUUAAAUUAGCCGCCACAGAAAAGAAAAAGCAAUAUUUUAAAAACCAAUCCCAACUAAUCAAGGAGAACAAUAGAGACUUAUAUUCCUUAAAUGUAUACAUCAAAUUGGAGAGUAAAGAGAGUACAAAGGAAAAGGAAUAUUUUUUAAUCCAUCAAAAUCAAUUAAGGGGCCAAUAAAUCAAUUAAUCAUUCAUAAAGCAGUCCAACAAUAAAGGAAAGCAUGUGUUUAGAAAAAUCAAUCAACAAAGUAAAUUUCUUUUGUAAAUUAAGUAGAAAUCAAUUAGAAUCAAACAACAACAACAAACCCAGUGUAUUCCCACAUAAUGGGGUCUGGGGAGGGUAAGAUGUACGCAGUCCAUACCAUUACCUCCGAUGAGGUAGAGAGGCUGUUUUCGAUAGACCCCCAG